AUCUCCUCUCCUUCUCUGAAGAACUGCGUGAUUAUAGAACUUCAUCUCUCUUUCAGCUCUAAAACAACUGAAAUCAACAGCCAGGGGUUUGUCAAGGUUGAAGAACUGAAGUACUUUGAAGAUCUGAAGAACAUUGAAGGUCAACAUGGCCCAUCGAUUGAGAAGUGGUUUUUGUGUGCUUAUAUAGUAAAGAACCCCUUUUAUGUAUGGUGAGGCAGGAGGUCGUGUCAUUAAUUUGCCAGAGAAUCAGAAGAUGUUUAUUGUAAAACAUUGGCACAACAGUUCAGUGAUCUCUUUUGGGUAUCAUUUUAUGGUUCAAGCAAUGUCAGAAAGCAUAGGUGAAGAUUCAGGUAAUACCAAUGGAGCCUCUCAGAAUAUCAUGCCGAGCUUGAAUAUCUUGAACAACCUGGCAUGUUCUCCUACAAAUACAUCCCAAGCCUGCUAAGCGUAAUGCGUAUUCUGGUGAGAAUGCAUUCACUCCGGUGGAGAAGGAGUUAGUUUUCGAUAUUGAUAUGUCAGAUUAUGUCGAUGUUUGGUAUCGCUGCUCGGGUGCUAAUAUUUGCAAAAAGUGAUGGCCACUAAUGACAAUUGUUAUUAAAGUGAUUUAUUCUGCACUCAGAGGUAGGAGUUCCUGCAUUAGCUAUUCAUUGAAUUUUAAAUCUACGAACUACGAAGAGCAGCCCCAUGGUCAGUGUUGUUGAGUGAACAGGAAGACUUGAACUCUCUGGGUUUGAAGUCCCUUCAUUGCGGGGUCCUAUUUCUUGAGUAUCCUAAUUCAGAUAAUGAUCUAAUUGGAUGACCGCACAACCAUCCAGUCUAAUCAUGUUCUUGGCAGUUGUACAUUUCUUAUCCGAGUGGAACUUUCCAACCGCUAAGCAUUUUAGCUAAUUGAAAAUUUCUUCAUGUGCUGCCCCAGUUAUUGUACUUUUUCUUUUGCCCUGGCAAACAGGAAACCUUACAUCUUUUUUUCCUUUCUGAAAGUUCGCAAUAGGAGAUGCACAGCAAUUUCUUUAGCACAUGGUGGUACAAGUAGGAUAAAACAAAUACUUGUUACUUCGAUCCUUUGCAAAGUUCCCAAUCAGUGUUAGCUAUUCUAUAUAAUUGCACUAUAUUGUGUCGAUAGAAGUUAUCAUACAACCAGUUCUGAAGUUACUGCUGUCUGGCCCCUUACAUAAUUUUGAAAUUGUGGUAUUGCUACUGAUGCAUGUGUGUUCUCUAAACCCUGUGUACGCAUCAUACUAUAUGCAACUAUCAGUCUACUAAAGUGUAGGUUUUUUAAAGCUGUAAUGCCUGGUCAGGUGUCCGUGUAUAACGCAAAAUCCCUUGAUCAUAAUUGGAAACCUAAUCUAGCCAUUUAGUAACUGAGUAGGAUCAUUAUAUUUCUUCCGCUGAUCUCGUAUGUCGUGCUCCUUUUUCGAAUUUGAUUCCUAAAUGAAGACCUUACACUUCUUUUUUUUUGCUUAUAACAUCUGUGUCUCUGUCUCAGAGGAUUUUGGCUUUGCUCACAUUCUCUGGGUAUAUAGUGGUCCGCGUGGUGUUCAUUGUUGGGUUUUCGAUGCACGAGCAAGAAGGUGACUUAAAUUUAUUUAGCAUUUAAUUGUAUACAAACUUCGCCUUUAUUCAAAGGGUUUAUAUAUGCUAUGUAUCACCCCUGUAGGUUGAACAAUGCACAGAGAGCAGCUAUUGCUGACUGUUUUCAUGUAUAUAAGGUGGUAUAUAACUAUAGUAUCAUGUGUCAACUUAUUCUCUUUGAAUUUGAUACAUUUCAUGGGAUCUUCCUAAACUUAUUCAUACUUUCAGGGAAGCCAAAGUGGCUGUGAGAAAGUUUUCUUAGAGGGUCCUGUUGUUCAUCCUUCUUUGGUGUAAAUAUAGGUUUUCUUUAGGAUGUCUUCAAAUUUCUCAGUUCCUUUUCAAGUUUUACGAAGUAGUCCCAUAUUUUGCAGAAGAUCAUAUCAACAAGUGCUGAGACUCUUCUUUGAAGAGGAAUUUCUAUGUGGACAAAAUCUACUUGAAUACAAGGAGAAAUUUGAUUCCUGAUGAAUGUAAGGAACCAAAAAUUUCUCUUAGCUACACCUGUUGGUCUUUUCCAAGUCUUUAUUAAUUGGAUCAGUGUUAGCUACUCAUCCACCUUGGUCUUCACAGGUAUUAACUUUUCGCAAUUUUCUUGAUGAUAUAGUCACUUUGUUAUGGCUUCAUAGUUGGCUGUAUAAGCAGGAGAACAUGGCAAACAUUAUAGUCUGACAACGUAUAUCUGUACCAAAUUGUGUUUAGAGUGAGAGAUCCUUUUUGAUGGCCACUAUCCUUUUAAGUAGGGAAUGAUGCUGGUGAUCAGAAUAUAUUGAAACCAUCAACUUCUUUCAGUCUCUAGUUCCUAUUUGUUAUCCAUAAUCAAUUAAGGUGCCUUUCGGUGACAGGUGGAGAAAAAUUUCUUAAAUGGCAAGUUGAAGGCCAUCACAGCUUACUUCAACCACCCCUCAGUGGGAUUUAAAACAGUCCACUUCUGCGAAUUUUGGAUCAAAACGUGGGUUCUUCUAAAGCUGAACUAAUCCAUGGAUUCUGAUUGUACACCACCAAGACUCCAGAAUAUAUACGAAAACCUGGAAGAACUUAGACUCUACUAAGAUCAGGGAUUUUUCGUGUCAAAAAAAAAAGAUCAGGGAUUUCAUGGGAGCAUUCUGGGAUAAGCUGUCCGUGGAUGAGGCUAAGAAGGAUGUUAUAUCAUUUGAUACUGUGAUGUUGGAGGUAUCUGGGUUUAAGUCAAAAAGCAGUACUCUGGUGAUAUUGUCGCAGCAGCUGAAUCUACCUAUGAUUUGCAGAGGAAUUGUUUAGGCAAGCGGAGUCUCGUGAUACUUCUGGUGGAGUUCUUUCUUCUUACUCAUUUAUUAGUCUAUCUUUCUUUCCCUGUUUUUCAAUGCCUCUUUCAGUUGACACAAACUAGAUCACCCAUCCAUUUAUGAACGUCAACAUAGAACGUCGUAUGUCAGUCACAAAAAUUUGGGUCUUGAUGAUCAUCUCAGAAAGUUUGCUGUGAUACUUGUAUACAUUUGUAUCUCCUAUUUAUACUUUAAGUUCACUUCGAUUAAAUAAUCCUUUUUUUAAAGAUAUAAUAGAGUUUUGUAUCUUCAUUUGUAUCAUCUAUCGUGUUU